GAGGGUAUAGCUCAGUGGAAGAGUGCAUGCCUAGCAUGUAGGAGGUCCUGGGUUCGAUCCCCAGUACCUCCA
rnacentral:tRNA from 1 species